rnacentral:tRNA from 1 species
GUGGACGGAUUUUAUAUAGGAGCUGUAAACUCUUAUCUUUAUGUCGUCAUA